ACCAUGGUGUUGUUUUUGUGCAGAAAUAAAAGUUCUCGGAUUGGAACGAAACUUUGCGAGAAACUUUUAUACAAAUCUAUACCUAUACUAAUUAUGGACUCCCAAGAAAUUACCGUGUUAAUCAGAAAUUAAGAACCGUUCAUCUGGUGGGACCGAGUUAUUACGGUGGUAAUCAGAAAUUAAGAACCGUUCAUCUGGUGGGACCGAGUUAUUACGGUAUAGAUCUAACCAUGUCCUCGCAUUAUUAAAGCAACCUAUAUUUCUUUGACAGAAAAAAAGAAUCUCUAUCUAACCAUGUCCUCGCAUUAUUAAAGCAACCUAUAUUUCUUUGACAGAAAAAAUAAGAAUCUCUAUCUCAUUACGUGUAGAUCAAACCAUGUACUCCCCUAUUUAAAGCAUCCUCUAUCUCUUUCACAGAAAAAAAACAGAAAAAAACAAUCUGUAUGUACUUUAUACUCCACGGUCUCUUCCUUCUGCACGCCAUCUUCCUCUCCCCUUCACGGACUCUUCCUAUUCUACAUAAUCGGUCUGUCUCCCAUGGUCAACAAAUCCAUCCAUGGCCUCUUCCUCUUCUCUGUUCUAUCUCCUCUAGUGGACAAAAUUUGGUUCUCAACCAGAGAGGAACCCCUCUCUCUCUACCAAACGUGAAGGAGCAUGUGUGAAGGUUUUGGAGCAGCCCAAGGCUGCAGCCGACAGCCAGAACAGCCAGAUGGGACUCCGACGAUUUCUCCAUUAGCCCGAUCAGAUUUGGCGAUUAGGAUGAGGUAGAGAGGACAACGAUACAGUUGUUGAGCAUAUUGCCGCUCUUCCUCACCGUCCAUGGAUCCACCUCGAUGCGUCUAUCCAUUGGUAGGUCCUUGAUUUCAGUCUUCCGUCCAUGCCAGAAUCGAUCUGAAAGAAAGUGUGCAUGAUCCAAUCCAUUCUCUACUGCUGCAUGUGAUCGUUUUCUUCUCCGGCAUCAGAAAUCUUGAAACUAAUCAGCUUUCAAGUUCUUGCGACACAGUAAUCGAACAUCUAUUUUAGGACAGCUCAUCGAUUGCCUAAAGAUGGUUGAUGGCUUGAUACUACCGAGGAGACUGUUGGAAGUAGAUUAGAUGGUCAUCACCGUCGACGAGGCUGCCGAGCAAAAGAACAGUGUACCAAAGACUGUUGGAAGCAGAUUAGAUGGUCGUCGCUGUGGACGAGGCUGCCGAGCAAAAGAACUAUGUACCAAAGACUCUUGAAAACAGAUUAGAUGAUCGCCGCGGUCCACGAGGCUGUCAAGCAAAAGAUCUAUGGAGGAUUGGUUGUUGUGCUGUUUACCUGCUUAACAAAAUUCGACUUUGUCGACGGUAACCUUAGCAGCAGGCUAUUGAAAGUUUUUUAACCGCAAACCCUAGCUUGGCCGCCCACUGAAAGACCGAGCGCCCUCUGUCUCGCCAUCUUGGGCCUCUCACCGAGAGGGCAGCGGGAACAAUGGAACCGUGCGGUUGUCGGUGCCCAUGUGCGGUGGAGCGGCUGCAGUCCUGCAACCCGCCCUUCCUCAAGUGGCACACAUGGUUGGCGGCGUGACACCAACGGCAAACAACGUCUGGUAGAGGAGCUUCAGCAGGAGGUGGUGCGCCAGAGCCAACAGUGGCAUUCUUUUUCGUUGCCGGCAUACUGAAAAGUAGUGUGGACUGAAGCUAUGAGAUGCUCAUGCAUGUGCCCAGCAACUAAGAUCAGUUAGACUCCUAGGAGGAUGAAAUCCAUGUAAAGGUAAUGUGUACAGAGAACGAGGCUGCAGAGCCAAAUAACUAUGUCAGGCAGGUGGCCCAGCUAUUCACCUUCUUAAAACUGUUUUGUUUUUGGGUGACGGUCGCCUCUGUGUCCACUCAACAGGGAAUUUCAGUGCAUAUGCAAGUAAACUGUUUCAUAUCUAUCCUGAAUUUCCUGCACUACAUAAUUUUAUCCAUAUAAUAUUUCUGUAAUAGUACCCUGUCCUAAAUGUUAGUGCUGUUUCUGCAAUUUUGUAAGCCAGAUUUGUUGCAAGUGCAGUGCAUAUGCAAGUAAUCUGGGCUGGACUAAUCUUGAAGUUUUCCAUCAAUUUUUAUACAACAAAAUAUUUGUCCUUAUCACAUUUAUAGUACGCACUGGGCAAUCAUGAUUCAUGGCCAGUAGAUAUAUAUGUUGGCUGAUGAAAAUUACUUUAGGGUAUCCAUUCUGCUAUAUUUUACAUACUGACAAUUUUUUAACAUAUGAUCUGGUAGAGAAAACAUAGAGAGAAAUUUUCUGCAUUCAACAUGAUUCAGUUUCCAGCCCGUGUAGAUUAAUCAUUUAAUGAGCUAACUAGAAUUUUAAGGCAUUUAGUGCAUUUUCAGUUAUGGUCGUGGACUGUGCACACACUUCAGUGAAUGAAAAACAUCAAGCAUUACUUCUUACAUGCGUGAAGCAUUUUACCAUAACUAGCUGAAUCAACGGACACUGUAUGGCAAGGCGAACAAGCACACUAAAUAAGACGACCCAUCAUAAUUCCAAGCUAUUUUUACAGAGGCAUUUCACCGGACUAUGUUGUGAUUAGCUUUUUUCGUAAGCUUCAGAAGGUUAUCUUGGAUUGAGACGACACUUUGCAAUUUUACACUUUUUUGUAUUAGUUCUGAAGACCAAAUUUACAAAAUUGAACUGGUGGUGAGUUCAAUCUGGUCUGAAGCUUCUGUCUACUAUCUUUUUUGCAGGUCGAACAUAAAAGGAUGCACAUUGGUUUUUUAGAUUGAAUAUAAGGUUUCAUGAAGAAACCUUGAGGUAUCAAUCCAGUCUCACUUUUUUAUUCAUUGUUUAUUGUUUGCUCUGCACUCCCAAAUAACCAUGGUGUAUAUCAUUAUUAUUUUUGUUGGAAGGCAGACUAUGAAAGGUGUUUCUUGCUAAUUAUAAUUCUGUUCACCAUAAAUAUCUGAAGUUUUUGGUUCAGUUUUUGAACUACUGAAAGUUGAUGCUAAGACCCAAUAAGAUCUUCCUGGAGCUGCCCUCUCGGAGCAAAUCUGCUAUAUCAUGCAUCUUCGUAAAUGAUAAAUUUAUGAUAGGCCCAAUAUAUACGAAAGCAUCUGGAUCUUAUGAAAUAUCAGGUGUUAAAGAGCAUUUAUCACUGUACUCUACCUGAUACAUUAAUCUUUUUGUUUUGGUUUCUAUUUAUGGUGAAAGAAUGGUUUCUUCGCCAUUUGGUUGAUGUUUAAUUAAACGAUAUUGGAAUCCUAUUUAAUAUUGUGCUGGUUACUACAGUUUUUCUUCCCAGGAAAGAACACCAAGUCACCUAUUGAAUAUUUGUUAGCUCAGCUGAUAUUCCAUAUUAGUUUUGCAUAUUGUGCUGCUUCCCAUCGACGUUUCCUCCUAGGAAACAACACGAUCAAUAUUUCACCCUGUUUAUAACAACCUGAUUGUUUCCGACAAUAGAAAUUGAGGCUCUCUUACAUGUUUAAUUUUGCACCCUGCUGUUGCAUAUAUAAUUUCGUUCUGAUAUAUGAAUAAACUGAAAGAGAUACAAACACUUUUCCUAAUCUACGGAAGACAUUAUUUCUACUUAAAAUCCAUCUCACGGGUCUAUCUUCUCUCUACAGGUAAAUAUAUGUGUUUUUAUACGUAUUCUUUGUACGCUUUCGUAGUACUUCAGUAAUCUAUAUAUGUCAUGUCCUGCUUGGCCAUGUCAAUAGGUAACACUAUCACCUUGGCUAGGUAGCUUCCUUAUUAUGAGGUUAGUCGAGUGAGGCUCCUCUUUACAUGAUUUGACCAUGCCUAGGCCAUAAGAUAGUUUUGAAAUCUGAAGAUACAUUAUGCUCGGAUGAUAUUAGCACCUCGGUGUCUAAUCUACCCGAUAUUACUUACAUGAUAGUUACCUACGGUCCAAGAUUUUCUAAAGGCAACUAAAUCAACUUAAUCUGAAUUCGGACACUAUUUUGUAAUCAAGAAUUGUGCUUAUGAGAUAUAUUACUUCAAAACUACACUGUUGAAUAUAAGAACUACUAAAUAUGUUCAGGAUAUGUCUCCCUAAAUUACGUACAUUACUUUUUAGUGAACUUGCAUUAUUUGAUACAUUUAUCUCAUAAAUACAAGUCAAAUACACACUUCUGAAAGAUCACAAUCUAAAAGCAUGAUGGAUUUGUAUCUUUCAGAUUAUAGACCAUCUCCUUUUUCUCUGUUACAUUGUUGCUCUCUACUCUUUAUCAACACUGAUAUAAUAAAAUGUAUCCAUACAUUCUCUCACUACAACACAGAAGGUCUGUAGAGACAUCCAUUAAUCAAUUAUAUGGGGAAGACCUUUCCACAUAUAUACCUCAUGAGCUCUUAUCAGUGUAUGUAUUUUGGUGGCAUCUAUGUAUGAUUGAUGUAAUAUGAUUAAUGCACAGUUUAUUUUCCAUUCUAGAUACUUUAUUUCAUUGGAUUUAUAUUGUAGGCAAAAGGAUCAUGGAAUAGCACGUGAGGUGUACUGUUUUUAGGACCUGUCUAUUUUGAUGCAUUGUAUUUGCAUACAUAUACCAAGUUUCCUUAAAUAUAUAUUACAGGAGAAUGGAUGAUCGAGUAGCACUCAAGAUGGCAAGGUGGUUGAGAUUUACGAAAUGUUGAAGCUUGAGGACUCAUGGGUCCAAGAGUACUACAGUGCAACAAACGACCCAAAAUUCAUACCAGCAGCACAAGAAAUAUGCAAACAGGGUGCACACAUACACCGCUUCAACUAGCGUAAAUAGAAACAACCUGGACUAGCUGCAGCCUAGAGGCGUCAGUUUUCAUUUGGUUGACGAUCGUCUACAGUGGUGUAUGUGAGUACUAAAACCCUUCCGUUCCUCUCCCGGCAUAUGCACCAAACGAUCAGUGGCACAAGGUAGUUGAGAUUAAGCCUCCUGCCACAAGACUUGGGGGACGACCUCAUUAAGAUUAUAUCCAACUGAAGCACCGAGCUCCAAAUGAUGGUGACGCCACAACAGCCCAAGAAAAGAUAUUGCACCGUUUCCUACGAAAGGUUGCAGAAAUAAUAUGAAGCAACAUGGGAGCAGGGAUGAUAUUUUUGGGAACAAAAUGUUAAUGUGGCUAACACAAAAACAGUAGCCACUGUAUCUAUGAAUUCUCUAUUGUCAAAAUGGGUUAUAUAA